GCGCAGCAGGCGCGAAUUUUUCACAAUGGGGGAAACCCUGAUGGAGCGACGCCGCGUGGAGGAUGAAGGCGUUUUCGUCGUAAACUCCUGUCAAACGGGAACAAGAAAGUGAUAGUACCGUUAGAGGAAGAGGCGGCUAACUCUGUGCCAGCAGCCGCGGUAAUACAGAGGCCUCAAGCGUUGUUCGGAUUCAUUGGGCGUAAAGGGUGCGUAGGUGGCUUGGUAAGUUGAAGGUGAAAUCUCGGGGCUUAACUCCGAAACUGCCUUCAAUACUGCCGAGCUCGAGGAUUGUAGAGGAGAAUGGAAUUCACGGUGUAGCAGUGAAAUGCGUAGAUAUCGUGAGGAAGACCAGUGGCGAAGGCGAUUCUCUGGGCAAUUCCUGACACUGAGGCACGAAGGCUAGGGGAGCAAACGGGAUUAGAUACCCCCGUAGU
rnacentral:rRNA from 1 species